rnacentral:rRNA from 1 species
GUGGGGAAUCUUGCGCAAUGGGCGAAAGCCUGACGCAGCCAUGCCACGUGAAUGAUGAAGGUCUUAGGAUUGUAAAAUUCUUUCACCGGGGACGAUAAUGACGGUACCCGGAGAAGAAGCUCCGGCUAACUUCGUGCCAGCAGCCGCGGUAAUACGAAGGGGGCUAGCGUUGCUCGGAAUUACUGGGCGUAAAGGGCGCGUAGGCGGACAGCUUAGUCAGAGGUGAAAGCCCAGGGCUCAACCUUGGAAUUGCCUUUGAUACUGGCUGUCUUGAGUUUGGGAGAGGUGAGUGGAACUCCGAGUGUAGAGGUGAAAUUCGUAGAUAUUCGGAAGAACACCAGUGGCGAAGGCGACUCACUGGCCCAAUACUGACGCUGAGGCGCGAAAGCGUGGGGAGCAAACAGGAUUAGAAACCCCGGUAGUCC